UUUUUUUUUUUUUUUUUUUUUUUUUUAAGAUUUAUUUAUUCAUUCAUUCAGAGAGAGUGAAGAGAGGCAGAGACACAGGCGGAGGGAGAAGCAGGCUCCAUGCAGGAAGCCUGAUGUGCAACUUGAUCCUGGGUCUCCAGGAUCACACCCCAGGCUGCAGGCGGCGCUAAACCGCUGCGCCACCGGGGCUGCCCACGUUUUUAUUUCCUAAACCGUUAUGAGAUCACUGGAGAUUCAUAUGCAGUUAUAAGAAAUAAUAUAGAAAUUCUGUGUGCUCUUCACCCAGCUCCCCCCAGUGGUAGCAUCUCGAAUGACUGUAGUACAACGUCUUAGCCAGGACCAUGUUGUGGUCCAGGCCUGACUCACCCACCCACCCACGCGUGCGCACGAGUGUGUGUGUGUGUGUGUGUGUGUGUGUGGUGUAUUUCUGUGUCUGUCACAUGUGUAACUUCAUCACUGGCCUUUUUAAGAUCUUAUUUUUUGAGAGCAUGAACAGGGUAGCGAGGGUGGAUAAAGGGAGAAGCAGGCUCCUUACUGAACAGGGGCUCGAUCUCAGGACCCCGAGAUCAUGACCUGAGUCAAAGGCAGACAACCAACUGAGCCACCCACGUGCCCCAGCUUUUUUUCUUUUUUUUUUUUUUUUUUUUAAUGGGAUAGUAUAGAUCAGUAUACAUCACACUUCUCAAUCGUAAGUAUUGAUUUGGGAAUGUGUUUUAGUUUUGUACAUACAUCUUGAUUGGAUUAUGAAAUGCCUUUUUGCUGUGAGUCAAGUCUGAAAGCCACAGGUCAUUGAGUCACCUGGACUCCACUGAAAUGGGCUUUUAGCUCAGGACUUAGUAGCUAAGUGCCCAUCCCAACAAACGUGUGUACUGGGAAGUGCUGGUGCUGACGGGGCGGCCCCUUGUCACCUGCUUCUGGUGGCUGGCAAACCUGGAAAAGGAAGUGCUGGCUGCUGCAGCAGCCGCCUCCUGGGAAGCCAGUAUUUGGUAGUUGCCAUUGCAGUUCCCUAGUGGUGUGAAGACCCUCAUCCUAAGAGCUCCUGAGGCCAAAGACCCAAGCCUACGUCUGCUCUGGGGGCUGUUUUGAGUUCAAGCAAUGCUCCCCUUCUGGGGAUUGCUAAAAGCAGUGCAGUGUGGCUCUGAGGGGGCCGUGGAGAAUCUGGUUAAGCACCAACAGGGAGAACCGGGGUUUCUUCGGCCCAUAGACCUGACUCCAGGCUUCCUGAAGCCAAGUUCCUGGCCAGGAUUGUGCCGAGUCCCCCAGAGGCUCCCAAGGGCUUGUCUGCUCUUGCCUAUGGAGACUGAAGAGUUUUGACAGCGGCUCCUGGAGGCCAGCCAGGGUCCAGAAAGCCUUGAGCCUCCUUGCCUCCAUUCAUCCCAUUCCCUGUACCCGUACCCCAGCCCCUGCAUACCACACCCACCCAGUCCUGGGCCCCCAAGGUCAGCAAAGAGCUUCAAAUAUCCCAGAGAAUGGAGUGAGCAGUGAACGAAGGCCAGGAGGAUGCUCUGGCAGGGUUGAACCCCCCCAUAGAGGCUCUGCCUGAGGAGAGGAGAAUGGGGGCCACGGAGGGUGCUCUCCAGCCUGCAGCUGACAUGGAGCGUCUGGAAACUGCCGGUGCCAGAGCCCUCCUGUGGGCAAGAGGAGAAGGCCAGGGAUGAGUCCGUGCCAGAGGUUGAUGGGGGAGCCGAGAAGGCCUGGAUGGUCCAGUGAGGAAGAGACCGGACCCAGGCUUCCCGGCCCCUUCAUACGUCAUCCCACACACAGUGUUUAGACAAAGCAGCGAAGAAGAAACACAGACAUCCUGGAUCCCGUAGGGAGGAGGCCAGGGCUGGGAACAGAAGGAGGUCUGUUUAUUCCUGGCAGUCGAGCAUCUGAGGGGCCCCACACCCACUUCUGUCCGGGCCCCAGGCUGAACUCUCCCAGAGCCUCUGACUUCUACCGCCAGAUAGCGUGGGUCGGAGGGCCGGCUGCCCGCUUGAGGAUGGGCUUGGGGCUGGAUGCUUUCCUCCUCUCCCCUCCUGUCCCAACAGAAGUCCUGCCUCCCCAGGCCCCUUGGCCACUGUGCAGGAUGGGUGGAGCUAGACCCCUAGGACCCCCACCCCCCACCUGGGUCUCCCACCCCCCUGCCAAGGGCACGAAAGUCCCCUGGCUCUGUCUGCCUGUGCUCCUGAGCAGGAAGUCUUUCCUUGUGUCUCAUCUCCAGCUUUCUUGCUGAAGUUCCAACCAGCUCCUCCCACUUGAGCCAGCUUCUUUCCAGCACCCCAAGGCCUCGCGUGAUACAAGCGAAAAUUAGAGCAUCACACCUCCUGGCUGCCUUACCUGAACUUACUUGCCCUUCCUCUCCUGUACCUACUUUCCUCAGCAUCCCCAUGGAGCAGAAGUGCCCAUUCUCCUCUUGCUUUUCCAUGAGCUCUCUAUCUGCCUUUCCCUACAGAGUUCUCUCUCUCGGACUGGACUGGUGGCUGGAGGGAAGUGACAUGCAGAGAAGGGCAGGAAUCCUAAAAAUGGUAAUGACGGCUGCCUUUCAUGGAGUGCCUGUGUGCCUAGUGCUCAUCCAAGUCCUCAUCACGCAUUAAUUCCGUUAGUCUCACCAUAGGUGAGUGCAACAUAAGCCCCAUCCUACAGAUGAAGACACAAAGGCAAGAGAACUUCAGUAAUUUGCCCAAGUUCACACAGCUUAAAAAAAAAAAAAAAAA
rnacentral:lncRNA from 1 species